GACAGAGGGGGCAAGCGUUGCUCGGAAUCACUGGGCGUAAAGGGCGCGUAGGCGGGAUGGCAAGUCGGUCGUGAAAUCUCUCGGCUCAACCGAGAAACGUCGGCCGAUACUGCCGUUCUUGAGGGAUGCAGAGGAGACUGGAAUUCCUGGUGUAGCGGUGAAAUGCGCAGAUAUCAGGAGGAACACCGGUGGCGAAGGCGGGUCUCUGGGCCGAUACUGACGCUGAGGAGCGAAAGCGUGGGGAGCGAACAGG
rnacentral:rRNA from 1 species